rnacentral:rRNA from 1 species
AGAGUUUGAUCCUGGCUCAGGACGAACGCUGGCGGCGCGCCUAACACAUGCAAGUCGAACGAGAGAUGAGGAGCUUGCUCUUCAAAUCGAGUGGCGAACGGGUGAGUAACGCGUGAGGAACCUGCCUCAAAGAGGGGGACAACAGUUGGAAACGACUGCUAAUACCGCAUAAGCCCACGGGUCGGCAUCGACCAGAGGGAAAAGGAGCAAUCCGCUUUGAGAUGGCCUCGCGUCCGAUUAGCUAGUUGGUGAGGUAACGGCCCACCAAGGCGACGAUCGGUAGCCGGACUGAGAGGUUGAACGGCCACAUUGGGACUGAGACACGGCCCAGACUCCUACGGGAGGCAGCAGUGGGGAAUAUUGCACAAUGGGGGAAACCCUGAUGCAGCGACGCCGCGUGGAGGAAGAAGGUCUUCGGAUUGUAAACUCCUGUUGUUGAGGAAGAUAAUGACGGUACUCAACAAGGAAGUGACGGCUAACUACGUGCCAGCAGCCGCGGUAAAACGUAGGUCACAAGCGUUGUCCGGAAUUACUGGGUGUAAAGGGAGCGCAGGCGGGAAGACAAGUUGGAAGUGAAAUCCAUGGGCUCAACCCAUGAACUGCUUUCAAAACUGUUUUUCUUGAGUAGUGCAGAGGUAGGCGGAAUUCCCGGUGUAGCGGUGGAAUGCGUAGAUAUCGGGAGGAACACCAGUGGCGAAGGCGGCCUACUGGGCACCAACUGACGCUGAGGCUCGAAAGUGUGGGUAGCAAACAGGAUUAGAUACCCUGGUAGUCCACACCGUAAACGAUGAUUACUAGGUGUUGGAGGAUUGACCCCUUCAGUGCCGCAGUUAACACAAUAAGUAAUCCACCUGGGGAGUACGACCGCAAGGUUGAAACUCAAAGGAAUUGACGGGGGCCC